rnacentral:lncRNA from 1 species
GGGUUGUUGGGGAUAUGAUUGGGGAUGUAGACUCUAAAUGAUCACCAGUGAAAAUAUUAAUAAUAUCGAAAUAGGUCUUGAUCAAUGACACAUGUAAAACCCAGUGGAGUUGUUCCUUGGCUAUGGGAGGGGGAGUUAGAGGAGGGGAGGGAAAGAACAUGAAUCAUGUAACCACGAAAAAUAUUCUAAAUUAAUUAAAUAAUUUUUUUCAAAGAAAAAAUGCUCAUUUUCUUUCUUCUUUCUUUUGCCUUCAGAAAGCUGAAAUUAUUAGCAAGCAAAUGAAUUUAUCAGAUACCUACUUCUAGCAGAAAAUUACAGCAAUUGUACAAAAAGAUGGAGUUUCCCAUACCAACUCUAUUCACCCUCUGUGCAGUUAAGGAUGGCUACAUCAUCCUCAGUUUAAGGAAACAGAAGCUCAUAGAAAUGAAGCUGCUUAUGUAAGGUCCCUGAGCUGAGCGAAUACUGAAAGAUGAAGAGCCUGAGGUUAGGAGUGACUAAAUGACUUGCCCAUCCAUAGACACCAAAAGGAUUUCAAUGGCCUUAUCUCUACUAGUCACCCAGUCAAAAUCUCAUUUAGAAAGCUGUGCAACAUUCCAGUGUUUGAGGCCAUCGACACAAUGUCAUUUACAAAUGUAAGCAUCUAAAGGAUCUCAUAAUCUACUGGGAAUUUCUCCUCCAUUUGGACUCUAUGCUAAACAUACCCCAUGACCAUGGCAAACAACUUAAAUUCUGAGACCAGUUCAUCUUCACUGUCUGUCUAAAAUUUCUCUAAUUUUUUUUCCAAUCGCUACAAAAUCUUUAUAAGAUUUAUAAGAUUAUCUAUGCAUUCGUUAAUAUUAUUCUUGAUAAAAACAGAAGGGAAAAGCACAUUUUUGUAAACCAUAUAGUAUAUUAGCCACACAACUAAGACAUAUUUUAAAGUGUGUAAAAUAGCACUACCAAAAAAAGACAAAAAUAUUUAGUUCAUUAAUGCAAAAUGCCAC